rnacentral:rRNA from 1 species
UACGAAGGGGGCUAGCGUUGUUCGGAUUUACUGGGCGUAAAGCGCACGUAGGCGGAUCGAUCAGUCAGGGGUGAAAUCCCAGAGCUCAACUCUGGAACUGCCUUUGAUACUGUCGAUCUGGAGUAUGGAAGAGGUGAGUGGAAUUCUGAGUGUAGAGGUGAAAUUCGUAGAUAUCGGGAGGAAUACCAGUGGCGAAGGCGGCGACCUGGGCCAAUACUGACGCUGAGGUGCGAAAGCGUGGGGAGCAAACAGG